rnacentral:rRNA from 1 species
UACGUAGGCAGCAAGCGUUGUUCGGAGUUACUGGGCGUAAAGGGUGUGUAGGCGGUUCUUUAAGUUUGGUGUGAAAUCUCCCGGCUCAACUGGGAGGGUGCGCCGAAUACUGAGGGACUAGAGUACGGGAGAGGAAAGUGGAAUUCCUGGUGUAGCGGUGAAAUUCGUAGAUAUCAGGAGGAACACCGGUGGUGUAGACGGCUUUCUGGACCGUAACUGACGCUGAGACACGAAAGCGUGGGUAGCAAACAGG